rnacentral:rRNA from 1 species
UUGGAGGGCAAGUCUGGUGCCAGCAGCCGCGGUAAUUCCAGCUCCAAUAGCGUAUAUUAAAGUUGUUGCAGUUAAAAAGCUCGUAGUUGAAUUUCGGGGUCAGUAGAUUGGUCAUGCCACUGGUAUGUACUGGUCUCACUGAUUCCUCCUUCCUGAUGAGCCGUAAUGCCAUUAAUUUGGUGUUGCGAGGAAUCUGGACUGUUACUUUGAAAAAAUUAGAGUGUUUAAAGCAGGCUAACGCUUGAAUACAUUAGCAUGGAAUAAUGAAAUAGGACGUUCGGUCUUAUUUUGUUGGUUUCUAAGAUUGACGUAAUGAUUAAUAGGGAUAGUUGGGGGCAUUAGUAUUCAAUUGUCAGAGGUGAAAUUCUUGGAUUUAUUGAAGACUAACUACUGCGAAAGCAUUUGCCAAGGAUGUUUUCAUUAAUCAAGAACGAAAGUUAGGGGAUCGAAGACGAUCAGAUACCGUCGUAGUCUUAACCAUAAACUAUGCCGACUAGGGAUCGGAUGAUGUUAAUUCUUUAAUGACUCAUUCGGCGCCUUACGGGAAAC